rnacentral:lncRNA from 10 species
CUUCCUCCUUCCUUUGUUAUCCUCUGCCUUUGCCUCUUUUGAAAAGUUCUAAGUUGCUAGCCGAUCAGGACAAAUACAGAAUGUGAGGUCCCCUUCCAGACAACAGACACCGGACACAGCAGUAGCGUGGACGCGUAAAGUUAUAAAUGACCCUGUCUCCUUUGUUCAGUGUACUCUUGUGGCAAAACUGCUGGCGAGUGUACCCUUUCUGCAGAAAGUAAAAAUGGCCUUGCUGAGGUAGUUAAAAUUUAUGUUCAAGUGCUAUUUCUUUACAGCACUGGGGAAGAAGCAUUUCUAACAGGAGCCUGCAUGCUGAGGAUGGCAGAGGAAAAAGACAGAGCCAUACUGAGCCCUUGGAGAUGCCACUGAGGAGCUACGCUAACCAAUCCUGGAGGCACCAUAACCUAGGACUUCUUCUUAUACAAGGAUGCUAGAGAGCAGUCUUCAGCCUGAGACCCAUCUCUAGCUUCUAACAACUCAGUAUACUCCUAUGAACAAAAUUUGGAGCAUAUUUGUUUCUCUCUACCUGAUUUCUUCAGACUGUGGAAACUAUUUGCUUUGACUGGAAUGUUGUGCUUUUUUUUAAGGAAUCAAACUUGACUUAUGGAUCCAAUAAAGCCCUUGGAAAAACUGGCCUCAUAUUUUGUGUAAACAGUCCCCGUACAGGGUUUCUGACUUGUGGACAUGAGACUUCACAGCCUGCUAAAAAUAAGCUUUUGGGACCUACCCAUUUAGGAAUAAACAGUCCUAGCCUUGAGAGAUCAGAUGAAAUCUGAGGCCAGAGACUCAUUUUCUUCUAAAAUGCUUUCUCCAAAAGAUUUUUAAAUAGAAAAGAGGGGAAAUGUGAAAGGAAAAUGUCUUCAGCCCCUUCAAGCUGGGAACUCUCAGUACAAAUCUGUCUCUCAUUCUAUUCAAAGUCAUUUCUCUGCUCAGAGAUAGAUGCAUAUUCUGAUUGCCUUCUUUGGAAAGACUUACCAGAAACUCAAAAGAAUGCAACCAUCUGUCUCUCACCUACCUGUGACCUGGAAGCCCAUAGGGUAAAGGGGGCUUGCUUUGAGUUGUCUCUACUUUUCUGAAUGGAAUGAAUGUACUUCUUACAUUUAUUGAUUGAUGUCUCAUGUUUCCCUAAAAUGUAUAAAACCAAUCUGUGCCCCGGCCACCCUGGGCAUGUGUUGUCAGGACUUCCUAAGGCUAUGUCACAGGUGCAUCCUCAACUUUGGCAAAUAAACUUUCUAAAUUAACUGAGACCUCUCUCAGAUUUUCUGGGUUCACUAUUCCUACUUGGAAAAUUGUCGAUAU